AGUAAAUUAGUUUAUUAAAACAUUAAAUUGCAAAUUUAAA
rnacentral:tRNA from 1 species